rnacentral:rRNA from 1 species
UACAGAGGGUGCAAGCGUUGCUCGGAAUUAUUGGGCGUAAAGCGCACGCAGGCGGCAGGGCAAGUCGGUUGUGAAAUCCCCGGGCUCAACCCGGGAGCUGCAGCCGAAACUGUUCAGCUGGAGUACGGAAGAGGGGAGCGGAAUUCCCAGUGUAGAGGUGAAAUUCGUAGAGAUUGGGAGGAACACCGGUGGCGAAAGCGGCUCCCUGGUCCGAUACUGACGCUCAGGUGCGAAAGCGUGGGGAGCAAACAGG